rnacentral:rRNA from 1 species
GACUACAGUCACACCACCCUGAAUGCUCUGGAUCUCCUCUGAUCUUGGAAGCUAAGCAGGUUCAGGCCUGGUUAGUACUUGGAUGGGAGGUGGAGGGAUACAGGGAGGAGGCCACAGAAGUGG